rfam:Musca domestica strain aabys unplaced genomic scaffold Scaffold18860, whole genome shotgun sequence.
CCUUCGAUAGCUCAGUUGGUAGAGCGGUGGACUGUAGUUCGGGAUGCAUUCAAACAUCAAAAAUUCGGUUCGCAUUCGUUGCCCUCAAAAGCGGCGAAUACAAACAAAACUUCUAUGCAGACAUCCAUAGGUCGCUGGUUCAAAUCCGGCUCGAAGGA